rnacentral:misc_RNA from 1 species
AAGUCGUAACAAGGUUUCCGUAGGUGAACCUGCGGAAGGAUCAUUAACAAUACGUUGAGCGUGUGUUGCCCCUUUUUGUGGGUGGUGCACGGCUCUAUUUGUUGAUUUGUGAACUGGUCUAUGCAAAGGUCUUCUCGUCUUCCGAGAGGAUCGUUGCUAAGAUGCCACAUUUGCUCUUUGUAUCAAUUUAAAAAUCUUAAGCUGUGCCCUUUUUGGAGUCGCCUCAGGGCGUGACAAAAGGUCAGCUAAAACUGUAUAACCAAGACAACUUUCAGCAAUGGAUCUCUUGGCUCUU